CAGAGAGUGUCCAGCACCCUGGCCCUGCACCGUGUGAGGCUGGGAGAAGCUGCGGUGUAUUUCUGUGCUCGAAGGGACACAGUGGGACAGCCAGGGGCUGCCCCCCUUUAAUAAACCUUCUGGUGUGAGCAGAAGGGGCAAGGCAGCGAGACCAGGGGCUGAUCCCUAGGGAAGAGCAGAGGCACCGAGAUUCCCCUGUGACCAUGGUACCAAUGCUGGGCUCAGCGUUUGUGCUGAUUUUUGUUUCAAGCGCCCCGGGCAGAGCCGAGAUCCGGCAGCCGGGCUCCGCGGAAGCCUUGGAGGGAGCGGAACUGAACCUCACCUGCUCUCACGGUUCCAUCACCACUGAAACUAUAGUUUGGUACCGGCAGCUCCCGAAUCGAGGACCCCAGUUUAUAGUCUCUGGAUACCAGGAAAUCGUUAAUACCAUGGACCCAGAGGGAGCUUUAUACAUCCAUGAAGACAGAAAAUCCAGCACAUUGGCCCUCCGUAGAGUGCGGCUGGCAGACGCAGCGGUGUAUUACUGCGCUCUGAGAGACACAGUGUGAGAGCCAGGGGCUGCCCCGUAC